UACAGAGGUCCCAAGCGUUGUUCGGAUUCACUGGGCGUAAAGGGUGCGUAGGUGGUUGGAUAAGUUUGACGUGAAAUCUCGGAGCUUAACUCCGAAACUGCGUUGAAUACUAUUUAGCUGGAGGGUCGGAGGGGGGACUGGAAUUCUCGGUGUAGCAGUGAAAUGCGUAGAUAUCGAGAGGAACACCAGUGGCGAAGGCGAGUCCCUGGACGACUCCUGACACUGAGGCACGAAAGCUAGGGGAGCAAACAG
rnacentral:rRNA from 1 species